rnacentral:rRNA from 1 species
GAUACCCCUGUAGUCCUGGCCGUAAACGAUGAACACUAGGUGUCGGGGGAAUCGACCCCCUCGGUGUCGUAGCCAACGCGUUAAGUGUUCCGCCUGGGGAGUACGCACGCAAGUGUGAAACUCAAAGGAAUUGACGGGGGCCCGCACAAGCGGUGGAGUAUGUGGUUUAAUUCGAUGCAACGCGAAGAACCUUACCAGGGUUUGACAUCCUGCGAAUCCCUUGGAAACUUGGGAGUGCCUUCGGGAGCGCAGUGACAGGUGGUGCAUGGCUGUCGUCAGCUCGUGUCGUGAGAUGUUGGGUUAAGUCCCGCAACGAGCGCAACCCACGUCUUUAGUUGCCAGCAUUUAGUUGGGCACUCUAGAGAGACUGCCGGUGAUAAACCGGAGGAAGGUGUGGAUGACGUCAAGUCAUCAUGCCCCUUACAUCCUGGGCUACACACGUACUACAAUGCUACGGACAAAGGGCAGCAAACUCGCGAGAGCUAGCAAAUCCCAUAAACCGUGGCUCAGUUCAGAUUGUAGGCUGCAACUCGCCUACGUGAAGGAGGAAUCGCUAGUAAUCGCAGGUCAGCAUACUGCGGUGAAUACGUUCCCGGGCCUUGUACACACCGCCCGUCACACCAUGGAAGUUGGCCACGCCCGAAGUCGUUACUCCAACCCUUGUGGAGGAGGAUGCCGAAGGUGGGGCUGAUGAUUGGGGUGAAGUCGUAACAAGGUAGCCGUACCGGAAGGUGC